CUGCUCAAUGAUUUUUUAAAUUGCUGUGGUAUUUUGACUAUACAAGGUAUUGAAUAAGAUUUUAAUUGAAUGCUAAAAGAAUGGAUUAACAAAAAAAUACUUUCUUAAUUUUAAAAAUUAAAGUUAUUUUUGUUUGUGCAGAAACAACAAUAAUAAUUAAGGACAAGAAGACCCUAAGAAUUUUAAAUUUAAAUUUCUAGUUCUAAGAAUUUUUAAUUUUAAUUGGGGAGAUUAAUAAAAAUUAAAAACUUUAUUUUAAUAAAAAAGAACCAUUAUUAAUGGUUACAUGAAAAAAAUACUCUAGGGAUAACAGCGUAAUAAUUUUUGAUAGAUCCUAUUGACAAAAUAGUUUGCGACCUCGAUGUUGGAUUAGGAUUCUUGUUUAAUGGAGAAAUUAAAUAAAGAAGUUUGUUCAACUUUUGAAUUCCUACUUGAUCUGAGUUCAGACCGG
rnacentral:rRNA from 1 species